rnacentral:rRNA from 1 species
ACGGAGGGUGCAAGCGUUGUUCGGAAUUAUUGGGCGUAAAGGGCGCGUAGGCGGUAAUGUAAGUGAGAUGUGAAAUACUCUGGCUCAACUAGAGAAAUGCAUCUGAAACUACAUAACUAGAGUACAGAAGAGGGAAACGGAAUUCCCGGUGUAGAGGUGAAAUUCGUAGAUAUCAGGAGGAACACCAGUGGCGAAGGCGGUUUCCUGGUCUGUUACUGACACUGAGGCGCGAAAGCGUGGGGAGCAAACAG